rnacentral:rRNA from 1 species
AGAUUGAACGCUGGCGGCAUGCUUUACACAUGCAAGUCGAACGGCAGCACAGGGGCAACCCUGGUGGCGAGUGGCGAACGGGUGAGUAAUGCAUCGGAACGUAUCUUCAAGUGGAAGAUAACGCAUCGAAAGAUGCGCUAAUACCGCAUAAUCUCCGAGGAGAAAAGCAGGGGAUCGCAAGACCUUGCGCUUUUGGAGCGGCCGAUGUCUGAUUAGCUAGUUGGUGAGGUAACGGCUCACGAAGGUCUCGAUCAGUAGCCGUCCUGAGAGGGAGCACGGCCACACUAGGAACUGAGACACGGUCCAGACUCCGUACGGGAGGCAGCAGUGGGGAAUUUUGGACAAGUGGGGACCGAAGCCUCGAACACGCAACGCCGCGUGGUGAUAGAAGU